rnacentral:lncRNA from 1 species
GGGAUACCUGUUCUUUUCAAAAGGCACGCAUCUUGGACUUUUCUCUAAAUGAACGCGUAUCAAUUUUUUGAGUUAAAAAAAGAGCAAUAAUGUCAUAUUUGUGGAAUUUAGCCACUUACACAGUUUCUUGGCAUCUUCCUUUCAAAUUCUCCCAUGGUGUUUAAUCUUUCAACUAUACCUCUGAGUGCUACGGAGAGAAGGAGAUAUGCUGGAAUUCCACCUCCGACUGUUUUGUGAGAGGUUGAAAAGGGUGUUAGCAGGUGAAGAAGGCACGUUGCCGCUGCCAGAUUCAACAAAUUUAACUCCACUUUUUCAAAACCUUCUUACGGAGUCCGAAAUUAUUGCUACUACUCUGCUGGAAAAAAAUGAAGCUGACAUGGCUCGGCAUUUGUUUCAACUCAUUAGAGAAGAAUUCGAUGAAUCCAAAAUAUCUUCGCCUUUUUUGCAACUGUUGGACUUAGAAGAAAGCGAUGAAGAAGUCGUUGAAACAGCAGAUAUUUUUGAAAUUCUGGAGGACAUCAAUGACUUUGUCCAUGAAUCUGAGGAAGCCAUUGACACACUCUUCAUCAACAUCAUGCAGCAGCAAAACAGUGAAAACGAAAGUGAAAGCAGUACUAAUAUGGCUCUUCUUGCUGGUCUCCACAGUAAAAUCAUUGAUAUUAGUAAUCGGAUGCAACAACUUCCACCCGGCGACAAUGGUUUUGAUAUCAGUGAAAAAAGUAACGAAAUCAUUCGCCUAUUGAGUGAGGGACAACCUCGGCUCGAUAUCAGUGAAUUUGAAAGGGGCAGAGAGAAGUUUUUUGAUCUAUUGAUUGAGGGACCAUCUGGGCUUUCAGUGGUUGCAAUUCUCGACAGCAGUGGCUUCGAUAUUUUUCAUAAAGGUAAAGAAUGUUAAAUUAAUGUUCUCUGAUGAUAUUUCUUAUCGGAUUUCCCUCAAAAGCAAAAUAAAUUGUCGGAAAAAUAAUACCUACUUCCUUAAAUUUUAAAAAAAUUAUCAUUUAGACCCUGAAAUUUUAAAACAGUUGCACCAAAAUCUUUUCUUUAACUAUGAUACCUCUUGAAUGUACUAACUAAAAAAUUGACUUUAAAAAAUUUUAAUCAAUACGAAUAUAAUAUAAAUAAUAAAAUCUACGUAGUAGGCUAAUAACAUUAAAGUAUAUUUAACAUUUAAAAUAAUAUUAAAAAUUUCAAAUUAUGAUUUUUAUUUUAAUCUUAUAUUUGUAUUUAUUAUAGAGAUUUUAAAUAAACCUUUGGAUUAAAAAGAUUUUAAAAUUAACAAAAUGUCUUCCUAUUAAUAAUAUUAACAUUAUUUUUUAUAAUAUUCAAAAUAAUUUAAACUUUAAUUUAUUUAUUGUAAUAUUAUGUUUCUAUUUAUUAUUAAAAUUACUUUAAUAUGAUAAAAUAUGCAUAAUAAAUUUUAAAAAAUAAAAUAAUUUUCUUGCUUGUCAACAAUUUUUUUUUUUCCACCAAAACCAAAAUAAAAUUAUGUCAAUAUCAAUUCUUUAACAGAACAACCUUAGGCCUUUCUAAUGUUUAAUACUACUAUUUCCAUGCCCAAAAAUUGUAAAAUUUUUAAUUAGUCCUGUUACUGGGCUUGAGGCAGUUACGCCAGUGAAGGCAAUUUGAUAUUAAAAUAUUUUUUAAUGAAAAAUUCUUUAAAUUAAAAAAGAAACAAUUGAUUUAAGCACCAAUAAUUAUGUCAUGGUAGUAAUUAAAUAAGAUAAAGGUUGGAUACCGAUUGGGAUACCUGUUCUUUUCAAAAGGCACGCAUCUUGGACUUUUCUCUAAAUGAACGCGUAUCAAUUUUUUGAGUUAAAAAAAGAGCAAUAAUGUCAUAUUUGUGGAAUUUAGCCACUUACACAGUUUCUUGGCAUCUUCCUUUCAAAUUCUCCCAUGGUGUUUAAUCUUUCAACUAUACCUCUGAGUGCUACGGAGAGAAGGAGAUAUGCUGGAAUUCCACCUCCGACUGUUUUGUGAGAGGUUGAAAAGGGUGUUAGCAGGUGAAGAAGGCACGUUGCCGCUGCCAGAUUCAACAAAUUUAACUCCACUUUUUCAAAACCUUCUUACGGAGUCCGAAAUUAUUGCUACUACUCUGCUGGAAAAAAAUGAAGCUGACAUGGCUCGGCAUUUGUUUCAACUCAUUAGAGAAGAAUUCGAUGAAUCCAAAAUAUCUUCGCCUUUUUUGCAACUGUUGGACUUAGAAGAAAGCGAU